rnacentral:tRNA from 1 species
GAAGUGGUAGCUCAACUGGAAGAGCGCUCGACAGCCAAUCGGGAGGUUGUGAGUUCAAGUCUCACCCCUUCCA